rnacentral:rRNA from 1 species
UACGAAGGGGGCUAGCGUUGCUCGGAAUUACUGGGCGUAAAGCGCGGGCAGGCGGUCUGACAAGUCUGAUGUGAAAUCACCCGGCUCAACCGGGCGAGGCCAUUGGAAACUGACAGGCUGGAGGGCAGUAGAGGUAGGCGGAAUUCCGGGUGGAGUGGUGAAAUGCGUAGAGAUCCGGAGGAACACCAGAGGCGAAGGCGGCCUACUGGGCUGCACCUGACGCUGAGCCGCGAAAGCCAGGGGAGCGAACGGG